rnacentral:rRNA from 1 species
GAUCAUUACCGAGUGCGGGUCCUUUGGGCCCAACCUCCCAUCCGUGUCUAUUGUACCCUGUUGCUUCGGCGGGCCCGCCGCUUGUCGGCCGCCGGGGGGGCGCCUCUGCCCCCCGGGCCCGUGCCCGCCGGAGACCCCAACACGAACACUGUCUGAAAGCGUGCAGUCUGAGUUGAUUGAAUGCAAUCAGUUAAAACUUUCAACAAUGGAUCUCUUGGUUCCGGCAUCGAUGAAGAACGCAGCGAAAUGCGAUAACUAAUGUGAAUUGCAGAAUUCAGUGAAUCAUCGAGUCUUUGAACGCACAUUGCGCCCCCUGGUAUUCCGGGGGGCAUGCCUGUCCGAGCGUCAUUGCUGCCCUCAAGCCCGGCUUGUGUGUUGGGUCGCCGUCCCCCUCUCCGGGGGGACGGGCCCGAAAGGCAGCGGCGGCACCGCGUCCGAUCCUCGAGCGUAUGGGGCUUUGUCACAUGCUCUGUAGGAUUGGCCGGCGCCUGCCGACGUUUUCCAACCAUUCUUUCCAGGUUGACCUCGGAUCAGGUAGGGAUACCCGCUGAACUUAAGCAUAUCAAUAAGCGGAGGAAAAGAAACCAACCGGGAUUGCCUCAGUAACGGCGAGUGAAGCGGCAAGAGCUCAAAUUUGAAAGCUGGCUCCUUCGGAGUCCGCAUUGUAAUUUGCAGAGGAUGCUUUGGGUGCGGCCCCCGUCUAAGUGCCCUGGAACGGGCCGUCAGAGAGGGUGAGAAUCCCGUCUUGGGCGGGGUGUCCGUGCCCGUGUAAAGCUCCUUCGACGAGUCGAGUUGUUUGGGAAUGCAGCUCUAAAUGGGUGGUAAAUUUCAUCUAAAGCUAAAUACUGGCCGGAGACCGAUAGCGCACAAGUAGAGUGAUCGAAAGAUGAAAAGCACUUUGAAAAGAGAGUUAAACAGCACGUGAAAUUGUUGAAAGGGAAGCGCUUGCGACCAGACUCGCCCGCGGGGUUCAGCCGGCAUUCGUGCCGGUGUACUUCCCCGUGGGCGGGCCAGCGUCGGUUUGGGCGGCCGGUCAAAGGCCCCUGGAAUGUAGUGCCCUCCGGGGCACCUUAUAGCCAGGGGUGCAAUGCGGCCAGCCUGGACCGA